CCUACGGGAGGCAGCAGUGAGGAAUAUUGGUCAAUGGACGAGAGUCUGAACCAGCCAAGUAGCGUGAAGGAUGACUGCCCUAUGGGUUGUAAACUUCUUUUAUAAAGGAAUAAAACGAGGCACGUGUGCCUUUUUGCAUGUACUUUAUGAAUAAGGAUCGGCUAACUCCGUGCCAGCAGCCGCGGUAAUACGGAGGAUCCGAGCGUUAUCCGGAUUUAUUGGGUUUAAAGGGAGCGUAGAUGGGUUGUUAAGUCAGUUUUGAAAGUUUGCGGCUCAACCGUAAAAUUGCAAUUGAUACUGGCAGUCUUGAGUACAGUUGAGGUAGGCGGAAUUCGUGGUGUCGCGGUGAAAUGCUUAGCUCUCACGAAGAACCCCGAUUGCGAAGGCAGCUUACUAAACUGUGCCUGACAUUGCUGCUCGACAGCGUGGGUAGCAAACAGGAUUAGAUACCCCUGUAGUC
rnacentral:rRNA from 1 species